UCUUUUCAAAUAAAUUCCACAUCUUACCAUCCUCAAAGCUUAGGAUCUCUAGAAAGGAGUCAUAUUACUCUUGUUGAAUAUUUUAAAAAUUUUGAUACUAAACAAGAUCGGGAUGAAUGGCUGCGUUACGCUAUUUUUUCCUAUAAUACCUCCGUUCAUGAAUCCACUGGAUUCACACCCCAUGCAUUGGUGUAUACGGGAGAGAAGCGAGACUCCCCACCGCGAUAAGCGACGAAACAAUUCCUCCGACUUAUGUAGAUUAUUUAAAAGACUUGUUUAGAAAAAUCAGCGAUAUACAAGCAACUGCAGCAGACAAUAUAAUCAACAAAAAAAAAAAAAAAAGUGCCUAUAGAUCUACACGGACGAUCAUCGAUUCCGUCCCGUGAGGGGAAGUGAGAAUCCCCCUCCACCACUAGGAAAGGAUUCACGCCCGUAUCCCGAGCCGAACUCAGGACUGGCAGUGCGAUCGAGUUGUCGUAUAAAACUGCCUACAACUUUCAUUCGGAUAAAGAAGAAAGCUAUAUUUUUAAGUACCUCAAACAACAAUCCAUUCCUCAGAUGCAUGAUACUUGAUCAGUUCAUACUUCCGACAACAACAUCCCGACAACAACCAAAAGCUAUAGGAACCUCCGUCCUUAUAUACUAACUGUGGAAUUUUUCACCGCUUGCCCCUGACCGCAUGGUGGGAGAAGGUUAUUUCCCCUCACGGGACGCAAUCGAUGACUGCCCAUCUACACACCGUGUGAACGUUCGUUUCGAUCUUGUCAUUGUGUGCACAGAUAAUUUUCAAGAUUAAUCGGAAUGCACCAUUCAUUUUACACAGUAAUAAAGAAUGUGUUAUAUGUUGGUCAUCGUGACGUGUCGGAAAGCAAAUAGGAAGUGUUUUACAUAGCGAGAGACUAGAAGAGCUCAAAGAGAAAUAUCCUGGAAUGUGACACUAUAAAGUCGUUUAUAACUAAAUUGUCUAUUCGGUCAAGUUGAAACAUUCUGAGACAAUUCAAAAAAAAAGUAGAACGAAAUUUGUACAUUAAAAUA